rnacentral:sRNA from 1 species
GAGAACCUUCGAUUAAGGUUCGACUCGAGCGAAAGAACGUUGCCAACGGUAACGGCCCGUAGGGUGAGCGUUAAGCACAGUGUC